GGUCGCGUCCGGGACGCGCGGGGCGAUCGCGCGUUCUCGCGCCGGUCGCGUUCGGAAUGUGCGGGACGCUCGCGCGUUCUCGCGCCGGUCGCCCGGGCCCUCGACGAGAUCGGCGAGCACGGACGAUCCCGGAGACGAUGGUGAACGAGUUCUGUGGCUGCGGUUUAUCAGGAUCAUUCAGUUCGCGCGUAUCGUUUCGUUUAGCGUCGCUGUGUUUUAGCCGGCCGCCUCGCGGAGCCGCGGCCGAAGCGGAAGCAGUCGAGGCUCUGCGAAGUUUCUGCGAAGUUUCUGCGAAGCUCUGCGAAGUUUCUGCGAAGCUCUGCGAAGUUUCUGCGAAGCUCUGCGAAGUUUCUGCGAAGCUCUACGAAGUUUCUGCUAAGCUCUGCGAAGCUCUGCAAAGCUUUGCGAAGCUCUGCUAAGCUCUGCGAAGCUCCGUGAAGCUCUCGGCCGAGCGUCCACGUUUUUUCUCGGUUUUCUCCGACGAACAACGAAUCACGACGCUUUCGGAGACGUUCAAGGUUCUCGCGACGGAGCCGCGAAGCCGCGCGCGUUCGUAUUCUUUUUAUUCGGUCGAUUUAACGCGGGCCGUGCCUGUCGCGUCGGUGUGUACAUAUUUCACGGAUCCGUUUCCGUGGGCAAUAAAUGAAUGUAUAAAUUAUUCGCGGAUUGGACGGCUGGUUGCGCGAUGUUCCACGCGGCGGCCUGUUACGUUGAACCGUGAGUUUUGAACACGGUGAUUAAGUCUACCGGGGACGCUCGAUUCGCGGGUCGCAAAAGCGUUGAAAUAAAUAUGUUACGGUUAAAUGUGUUCGGCGAGAGACAAGAGAUUCCCCUGUCGUUCUGUGACCAUUGCGUGGUACUGUGAUCUGUUCCUAAUUCGCGAUCGGAACCCUUUUUGGUUUCUUUUCCGGUGUAAUUAACUUAAUAUUUAUCGAACAAGAUGUAUUAAAAUUGUUUAUUCUUUUAUUUUCUUUCUAUGCGAAUUAAAAGAGUUUAAUACGUCUAGUUCGAUAAAUAUAAAGUUGAUUAUCCCGCAAAUAAACCGGUGGCACAGUGAUUGGUCACCACACAGUAAUCGGCUCCGCUACCCCAAAAUUUGUUUCCGACAUUCAACGGGACCCCAUUGAAUGUUCAAGUAGAAAUACAGUAAUUUCUCUUCUAAUUCGCGUUUGGAUUGCGCGACCGGAACCCUUCGGUUCAAUUUUCGGCGUAAUUAACAUAAUAUUUAUCGAACAAGAUAUAUAUUAAAAUUAUUUAUUCCCUUAUUUUGUUUCUAUCCGAAUGGAAAAUAAUUGAAUACAUCUAGUUCGAUAAACGUAAAAUUGAUUAUCCCGAAAAUAAACCGAGGACACGGUAAUCGGUCAGCCCACAGUAACCGGCUCCACUAAUUGAAUUUUAAUUUAUUUCCGAGCCAUUCGACAGGAUUUUUAUGCACAGUCUGAGCGCGAAUUAGGGAGAAAUUACGCGACGAUGUUUCUUUUCUCUUCAGCCGCCGCCGUUUAUUUUCGCAGUGUGUCCUUUUUUUUAUUAUUUAUUCGGUUUUAUUAUUAACCGGUGCUCCCCUCGGUGCCUCACGAACAUGAAAUACGGACCGAAUGUUCGUAACUCGUUCGAAUUUCCGAGCACGCUUGACUGUAACGUAUUUAAGGCAACACUUUGUACGAUCGAUGGCCGAAGAGAGAGAGAGAGAGAGAGAGAGAGAGAGAGAGAGAGAGAGAGGGCGAACGAAGGCGCGACAGCCACGCAAAUAUCGGCGCGAUUGCUGCUUGGAUGAAUAAAAUCGAUUCUAGUGAGUCGAACGCUUUUGUUGGGCCGACUCGGUUCUUCUUGGCGAUGGUCGAUGUGUACUCGCUUACUGGUCACAGUGCGCCCUCGAUAAGAGCUCGCCGCCAUUCUCUCGACGAUUCAAUUUCAAUUGGAUAUUAAUAUUAUAUACAUGUAUAUAUAUUAUGUACACAUAUGGCGCAUCGGCGGAUGCGCAUAUUUUUAAGAAAACGACUGUUCGAAAAUGUUCGAAAUUCAUCGCGUCUCGAUCGGCGAGCUCUUGUCGAGGGGGGCGCGGGCUCGAAAAUUGAGAGAAAUUCAAUUGGCGGGGACUGUGGCUCGGCUACCUCAUAGAACUGAUCUGUAAUAAUUAUGGGACAGUUGCAGGGCAUUCUUCUCUGUGUUUUUCUCGAGCUUCAUUUCUCCUUCUCUAUGCAUGCCCACAUCCUUGCCCCCCACCCCCACCCCCGGCCCACCCCUCUGUGUCUUCGUUUCGCAUCCCGAUAUAUUGUAUAUUGAAAGCUGACAGGGAAAUCGAACGAACGAUUUUCAAAACCGCCGAAGCAAUUCGACAAAUUCGAUUCUCGAACGAACGUUAAAAAUAAAAUAUAAAAGAUAAAAAGAAAGAAAAGAGAAACGUUUUGUUCCGCGAACGGUCGGCUGGCUGACGAUCAUCCUGACCCUGAUGCGAUAUUUUGUAGGUGGCAGGCGCGGCGACGAGGUUCGCCUGACGCGGCCGAAGAGGUUCGUGAAGAUACGGGACGCCCUGUACAACGCGAACACCGGGAAAUUUCACUGUCCUAACUGUAACAACGGAUACGGCAGGCGAGACACAAUGUUGGGUCACUUUAGGGUGCGAGUGGCCGCGGAACGUUGUUGGUCCGCGGAUACUCGACGUUUGGACGCAACGCGGCCCGCCGACGGACGACGCGGCCGCCUCGGAGGGGGAGUACGCGUGCGCGAAGUGCAAGAAGACGUUUCCGCGGAAGUACGCGAUGAACCGUCACUAUAAAUUGUGCGACGCGUACCCGCGUUAUCAGUGCCCGCACUGCAAGUACGUGAGCAAGUGGACGUCCGCCAUUUACAAGCAUAUUCGGAGGGUGCACGUCGGAGGAUUGGUCGCCGUCUCGAUGCUUUAUUAGCGACGAACGAGGCGCGGCGAGGCGAGGCGAGGCGAGACAAGGCGAGGAUAAUGUAAAUCGUGUUAAUAAAGAAAAUAGUUCCGGCCGAUCGUCCUCGGCAAGUACCACGGGGUCGUGCGAAACUCCCGGCACAUGCUCAAGCUACAGACGUCCCUGAACCGGCGGGGCUUCCCGUGCCCGAGAUGCGCGCGCACGUUUCACACGUCCGGCGGCAUGAGCCGGCACUACAGACUCGAGUGCGUCGAUCUGCCACGGUUCAAGUGUCCCCACUGCGACAUGCGUAGCAAGUAUACACAGGCGGUGUACAGGCAUAUACGCGCGAAACACCGCAAUAUGGAGCUCAGGUUCGUCAAGCUGUAUUGAAAACCGAACAACGACCAGAACGAGACGAGCAGCCUCCACGAGCGCCGUCGUCGAUUCUUCGACCAUUGAGAUUAUUUUAGCAGCAACGGAACAACCAUCGGUUCCCCUGACAUUCGGAGCACCCUGGGGAGGGGGGUGGGUGGGAGAAAAACGACCAAGCUCGCGGCGAAAGUGUGGACGAGACAGAGAGAGAUAAUUUUGAUUUUAUAAUUGGCCUUUGACGAGGCUUCUGGAAUCGAUUAAUAAUAAAUAAAUUAAUGAAGGGAUUAAAUUAAAUGAAUUAUAGAGAAAAUACGAUUGUGGGGAAAAUUAAAUAAAUUAAAUAGAGAAUUUGUGACGUAGGGAAGAAUUGUAGGGAAGAAUUUUCGACGUUGAACGUUUAUGGUAAAUUUGGAAUCUAUCGACGAAAUUUAGGUUGAUCCGUGUGCGACGUUUUUAUGAUUAUUUUGGAGCGAUUUUAACGCGGAGAAUGUUCAUGUAAUAUUGGAUGCGCUUGUGUUCUGUAGAUUUGUUUGUGUAUGUAUAUAUUUUCUCUCUCUCCCUCUCUCUCUCUCUCUUUUUAUUGUUUGUACACCAAAUACCAUAUUAUUAAUAUGGUAACAUAUGGUAAUAAUAAAUGAAUAUUAUACCAUAGCAAUACUUUAUUAUUUGUGUACCAGUGCGUACAGUCAAACCAAAUAGUUGUGAAACUAUACAAUUAAUUAUGUAUAAUUAACGUGUAAAUUAUGUAGUCGACGGAAAUAUCCGAUUAGAAGUCGUAAUGGAUAAACCGGAAUUUUAUUAAAAAUUGUGAAAAACAUA